rnacentral:rRNA from 1 species
UACGGGGGGGUGCGAGCGUUGUCCGGAAUCACUGGGCGUAAAGGGCGCGUAGGUGGUUUGAUAAGGGUGUGGUGAAAGUCCGGAGCUCAACUCCGGAUCUGCCGUGCCGACUGUCAAACUCGAGGGCUGUAGAGGCAGACGGAAUUCCGGGUGUAGCGGUGGAAUGCGUAGAGAUCCGGAGGAAGACCGGUGGCGAAGGCGGUCUGCUGGGCAGUUUCUGACACUGAGGCGCGACGAGCGUGGGGAGCAAACAGG